GUUUGAUCCUGGCUCAGAACGAACGCUGGCGGCGUGCUUAACACAUGCAAGUCGAACGCGAAAGAGUUCUUCGGAACUUGAGUAGAGUGGCGCACGGGUGAGUAACGCGUAAGUGAUCUACCCCUGUAUCAGGAAUAACUAUGGGAAACUGUAGCUAAUACCGGAUACGUUCAUGUGAUUGCGAUCAUGUGAAGAAAGAUGGCCUCUGACAUAAGCUAUCGUACAGGGAGGAGCUUGCGUACCAUUAGCUAGUUGGCAGGGUAAAGGCCUACCAAGGCGACGAUGGUUAGCGGGUCUGAGAGGAUGAUCCGCCACACUGGAACUGAAACACGGACCAGACUCCUACGGGAGGCAGCAGUGAGGAAUAUUGCGCAAUGGGGGCAACCCUGACGCAGCGACGCCGCGUGGAUGAUGAAGGCCUUCGGGUCGUAAAAUCCUGUCGGAUGGAAAGAAGUGUGAUGUGGUUAAUACCCAUGUCAUUUGACGGUACCAUCAGAGGAAGCACCGGCUAACUCCGUGCCAGCAGCCGCGGUAAUACGGAGGGUGCAAGCGUUGUUCGGAAUUACUGGGCGUAAAGCGCGCGUAGGCGGUUUGUUAAGUCAGAUGUGAAAGCCCAGGGCUUAACCCGGGAAGUGCAUUUGAAACUGUCAGGCUUGAGUAGGGGAGGGGGAAGCGGAAUUCCUGGUGUAGAGGUGAAAUUCGUAGAUAUCAGGAGGAACACCGGUGGCGAAGGCGGCUUCCUGGCCCUAUACUGACGCUGAGACGCGAGAGCGUGGGUAGCAAACAGGAUUAGAUACCCUGGUAGUC
rnacentral:rRNA from 1 species